rnacentral:rRNA from 1 species
UUAAGCGACUAAGCGUACACGGUGGAUGCCCUGGCAGUCAGAGGCGAUGAAGGACGUGCUAAUCUGCGAUAAGCGUCGGUAAGGUGAUAUGAACCGUUAUAACCGGCGAUUUCCGAAUGGGGAAACCCAGUGUGUUUCGACACACUAUCAUUAACUGAAUCCAUAGGUUAAUGAGGCGAACCGGGGGAACUGAAACAUCUAAGUACCCCGAGGAAAAGAAAUCAACCGAGAUUCCCCCAGUAGCGGCGAGCGAACGGGGAGCAGCCCAGAGCCUGAAUCAGUGUGUGUGUUAGUGGAAGCGUCUGGAAAGGCGUGCGAUACAGGGUGACAGCCCCGUACACAAAAAUGCACAUGCUGUGAGCUCGAUGAGUAGGGCGGGACACGUGGUAUCCUGUCUGAAUAUGGGGGGACCAUCCUCCAAGGCUAAAUACUCCUGACUGACCGAUAGUGAACCAGUACCGUGAGGGAAAGGCGAAAAGAACCCCGGCGAGGGGAGUGAAAAAGAACCUGAAACCGUGUACGUACAAGCAGUGGGAGCACGCUUAGGCGUGUGACUGCGUACCUUUUGUAUAAUGGGUCAGCGACUUAUAUUCUGUAGCAAGGUUAACCGAAUAGGGGAGCCGAAGGGAAACCGAGUCUUAACUGGGCGUUAAGUUGCAGGGUAUAGACCCGAAACCCGGUGAUCUAGCCAUGGGCAGGUUGAAGGUUGGGUAACACUAACUGGAGGACCGAACCGACUAAUGUUGAAAAAUUAGCGGAUGACUUGUGGCUGGGGGUGAAAGGCCAAUCAAACCGGGAGAUAGCUGGUUCUCCCCGAAAGCUAUUUAGGUAGCGCCUCGUGAAUUCAUCUCCGGGGGUAGAGCACUGUUUCGGCAAGGGGGUCAUCCCGACUUACCAACCCGAUGCAAACUGCGAAUACCGGAGAAUGUUAUCACGGGAGACACACGGCGGGUGCUAACGUCCGUCGUGAAGAGGGAAACAACCCAGACCGCCAGCUAAGGUCCCAAAGUCAUGGUUAAGUGGGAAACGAUGUGGGAAGGCCCAGACAGCCAGGAUGUUGGCUUAGAAGCAGCCAUCAUUUAAAGAAAGCGUAAUAGCUCACUGGUCGAGUCGGCCUGCGCGGAAGAUGUAACGGGGCUAAACCAUGCACCGAAGCUGCGGCAGCGACGCUGAUGCGUUGUUGGGUAGGGGAGCGUUCUGUAAGCCUGCGAAGGUGUACUGUGAGGUAUGCUGGAGGUAUCAGAAGUGCGAAUGCUGACAUAAGUAACGAUAAAGCGGGUGAAAAGCCCGCUCGCCGGAAGACCAAGGGUUCCUGUCCAACGUUAAUCGGGGCAGGGUGAGUCGACCCCUAAGGCGAGGCCGAAAGGCGUAGUCGAUGGGAAACAGGUUAAUAUUCCUGUACUUGGUGUUACUGCGAAGGGGGGACGGAGAAGGCUAUGUUGGCCGGGCGACGGUUGUCCCGGUUUAAGCGUGUAGGCUGGUUUUCCAGGCAAAUCCGGAAAAUCAAGGCUGAGGCGUGAUGACGAGGCACUACGGUGCUGAAGCAACAAAUGCCCUGCUUCCAGGAAAAGCCUCUAAGCAUCAGGUAACAUCAAAUCGUACCCCAAACCGACACAGGUGGUCAGGUAGAGAAUACCAAGGCGCUUGAGAGAACUCGGGUGAAGGAACUAGGCAAAAUGGUGCCGUAACUUCGGGAGAAGGCACGCUGAUAUGUAGGUGAAGUCCCUUGCGGAUGGAGCUGAAAUCAGUCGAAGAUACCAGCUGGCUGCAACUGUUUAUUAAAAACACAGCACUGUGCAAACACGAAAGUGGACGUAUACGGUGUGACGCCUGCCCGGUGCCGGAAGGUUAAUUGAUGGGGUCAGCGCAAGCGAAGCUCUUGAUCGAAGCCCCGGUAAACGGCGGCCGUAACUAUAACGGUCCUAAGGUAGCGAAAUUCCUUGUCGGGUAAGUUCCGACCUGCACGAAUGGCGUAAUGAUGGCCAGGCUGUCUCCACCCGAGACUCAGUGAAAUUGAACUCGCUGUGAAGAUGCAGUGUACCCGCGGCAAGACGGAAAGACCCCGUGAACCUUUACUAUAGCUUGACACUGAACAUUGAGCCUUGAUGUGUAGGAUAGGUGGGAGGCUUGGAAGUGUGGACGCCAGUCUGCAUGGAGCCGACCUUGAAAUACCACCCUUUAAUGUUUGAUGUUCUAACGUUGACCCGUAAUCCGGGUUGCGGACAGUGUCUGGUGGGUAGUUUGACUGGGGCGGUCUCCUCCUAAAGAGUAACGGAGGAGCACGAAGGUUGGCUAAUCCUGGUCGGACAUCAGGAGGUUAGUGCAAUGGCAUAAGCCAGCUUGACUGCGAGCGUGACGGCGCGAGCAGGUGCGAAAGCAGGUCAUAGUGAUCCGGUGGUUCUGAAUGGAAGGGCCAUCGCUCAACGGAUAAAAGGUACUCCGGGGAUAACAGGCUGAUACCGCCCAAGAGUUCAUAUCGACGGCGGUGUUUGGCACCUCGAUGUCGGCUCAUCACAUCCUGGGGCUGAAGUAGGUCCCAAGGGUAUGGCUGUUCGCCAUUUAAAGUGGUACGCGAGCUGGGUUUAGAACGUCGUGAGACAGUUCGGUCCCUAUCUGCCGUGGGCGCUGGAGAACUGAGGGGGGCUGCUCCUAGUACGAGAGGACCGGAGUGGACGCAUCACUGGUGUUCGGGUUGUCAUGCCAAUGGCACUGCCCGGUAGCUAAAUGCGGAAGAGAUAAGUGCUGAAAGCAUCUAAGCACGAAACUUGCCCCGAGAUGAGUUCUCCCUGACCCUUUAAGGGUCCUGAAGGAACGUUGAAGACGACGACGUUGAUAGGCCGGGUGUGUAAGCGCAGCGAUGCGUUGAGCUAACCGGUACUAAUGAACCGUGAGGCUUAACCUU